rnacentral:rRNA from 1 species
UUGGAGGGCAAGUCUGGUGCCAGCAGCCGCGGUAAUUCCAGCUCCAAUAGCGUAUAUUAAAGUUGUUGCCGUUAAAAAGCUUGUAGUUGAACCUUGGACCUGGCUGAUCUGUCCUCCUAAUCGAGCGUACGGAUUCGGUCGGGUCUUUCCUUCUGGGGAACCCUAUGUCCUUUAUUGGGUGUAGUGGGGAACCAGGACUUUUACCUUGAAAAAAUUAGAGUGUUCAAAGCAGGCCUUUGCUCGAAUACAUUAGCAUGGAAUAAUAGAAUAGGACAUCGGUUCUAUUUUGUUGGUUUCUAGGACCGCUGUAAUGAUUAAUAGGGAUAGUCGGGGGCGUCCGUAUUCAAUUGUCAGAGGUGAAAUUCUUGGAUUUAUUGAAGACGAACUACUGCGAAAGCAUUCGCCAAGGAUGUUUUCAUUAAUCAGUGAACGAAAGUUAGGGGAUCGAAGACGAUCAGAUACCGUCGUAGUCUUAACCAUAAACUAUGCCGACUAGGGGUCGGACGGUGGUUUUUUUAUGCCCCGUUCGGCGCCUUACGGGAAAC